rnacentral:lncRNA from 1 species
UGGAAGUAAGAAUAAUGUGGUGUGGGUUAGGGCUAGGGUUUCGUUGAGGGUUUUUUUGUGAAGAAGAUGAAUGAGUUUUAGGUUGAGAAGACGAGUGAAGGGGCCACACGUCAUGAUUGCUUUGGGUUGUCAAAAUUCCCUUCCCCAAGCCCGGUUCUAAGCCUUUUAGCCCAUAAGAUUCGUUGGGGAAGCCCUUUUUCCUGAUUUUAUUUGACCCCAGUCUUGUUUGUCCAUGAGCCACUUGAUCUUUGGACUCAUCAUUUGAUUUGGGUCGGGCUGAAUGGAAGUCACAUCUUCGAGAGAAACUCUCAUGCAACGGGAAUAAUAUUUUUUGCUAUAACAUAAUGACACGUAGGAUAAUUUUUCUACGUAUCCUUGUGUUAUUGGCCAGGAAUAGCAAAACAGUGAUAUCCCUGUUACAAGAAAGUUUUUUUGCACAUCUUGAGUGACAGACCCUUGAAAAGAAAAAAAAAAGAAAAAAAAAUUAUUGUCAUAGUAUGAUUAUUUAAAUGUAAAAAGAAAAAAAUUAAUUUGUACUUAGAAACCUCAAUUUCAAAUUCAUUAUUAGAAGUUCUUUUGGUUUAG